rnacentral:rRNA from 1 species
CACGUAGGGACCAAGCGUUGUCCGGAUUUAUUGGGCGUAAAGAGCUCGUAGGCGGUUGGGUAAGUCGGGUGUGAAAACUCUGGGCUCAACUCAGAGACGCCACCCGAUACUGCUCUGACUUGAGUCCGGUAGGGGAGUGGGGAAUUCCUGGUGUAGCGGUGAAAUGCGCAGAUAUCAGGAGGAACACCGGUGGCGAAGGCGCCACUCUGGGCCGGAACUGACGCUGAGGAGCGAAAGCGUGGGUAGCAAACAGG